CCCCCUGCCCUUCUUCACCCACCCCCAAAAAUAAAUAAAUAAAUAAAAAUAAAAAGGGCACCACACCGCAUAAUUCCAACUAUAUGACACUCUGGAAGAAGCCAAAUCGCAGAGACAGAAGAUGGGUGGUUGCCAAAGAGGCUGUGGGGGAGGCAGGCAGGAUGAAUAGGGGGAGUUUAGGUCAGUGAGACCAAUCUGUAGGAUACCGUCGAGGAAUACACGUCAUCACACCCUUGUCAAAACCUCAUAACUGUAACACCAAGAGUCAACUUUAACGUAAGCUAUGGACUUUCGCGCCCCCGUCAAUUCUUAUAUUAGGUACGAUAGUCGCUUUAGUUUAGUUACUGUAUCAGGAUCAGGUCAAUGAUUGUAACAAAUGUACAACAUCACUGCAAGGUACAUUAUGUAUUAUUAAUAAUGUGUAACAUUAAUAGGAAAACUACACACAAGAUGGGGGAGCAGAGAUGUGUUGGGAACUCUCUGUACUGUCUACUCAAUUAUUUUCUGUAAAUCUAAGACUGCUCUAAAAACUAAA